GGCCGUCCUGCAAGCAUUACAUUAAACAGCUGUUCCCCAUGCAGCCACAGGUGCUGCUGUGCUGGGAGAUUGUGAUUACUCUUCACUUCCUCCCAGCCUACAGAGCAGCGCAUGGAAGAGAGAGAGGAGGAGGCAUGAUUUAAUCUUACAACAAAUCCACUAAGCAAAUCUUUAUAAAUUGGGGGGCUCAGCUCUGUUUGCACAGUUUAUUGGUGUUUACUCUGAUGUCUGUAUUAAUAUUGAGGGAUUUCUAAGUAGUAACAUCAGUGUGUUUCAGCAGGGCCAGCCGUUGGGGUGUGCAUGCUGUGCGGUCACGCAGGGUGCCAUCACA